rnacentral:rRNA from 1 species
UGUCUUUAUGGCAAAUGUGAGAUGCAGUGUAUGGAAUGUCAAAUUUCUAGUAUGAGAAAUUAACGAUUUAAGUCCUUCUUAAAUGAGGCCAUUUACCCAAAGAGGGUGCCAGGCCCGUAUAACGUUAAUGAUUACUAGAUGACAUUUCCAAAGAGUCGUGUUGCUUGAUAGUGCAGCACUAAGUGGGUGGUAAACUCCAUCUAAAACUAAAUAUAACCAUGAGACCGAUAGUAAACAAGUACCGUGAGGGAAAGUUGAAAAGAACUCUGAAUAGAGAGUUAAAUAGUACGUGAAACUGCUUAGAGGUUAAGCCCGAUGAACCUGAAUAUCCAUUAUGGAAAAUUCAUCAUUAUGAUUUUAAUAUUAAUAAUAUUAUAAUAAUGGUGUGCAUUUUUUCCAUAUAAGGACAUUGUAAUCUAUUAACAAAGAUUUAUCAAAAGAUCAUUGGCUUUAGUUUAUUCAAAUUAUUUUGCUUGCAAUUUAACAUAGAAUAAAUGCUUUUGAUUUGAUAAAGCGUUGAUAGAUUUAUUAUAUAUAGUGCUUGAAUAUAUUUAUAUAUUCUAUAAUAACAUAUUGAUCAAUGAUCUUUGUGUUUCAUUAUAUGCACUUAUAUGAUUAACAAUGCGAAAGAUUCAGGAUACCUUCGGGACCCGUCUUGAAACACGGACCAAGGAGUCUAACAUAUUUGCAAGUUAUUGGGAAUUAAAAACCUAAUAGCGAAAUUAACAUAACUUAUAUAAUGGGAUUAGUUUUUAGUACUAUUUAUAGUCUAUUAAUUCAAUCCCGGGGCGUUCUAUACAGUUAUGUAUAAUAAUAUUUAUAUUAUUUAUACCUCUAACUAGAGCGUACCUUGAGCAUAUAUGCUGUGACCCGAAAGAUGGUGAACUAUACUUGAUCAGGUUGAAGUCAGGGGAAACCCUGAUGGAAGACCGAAACAGUUCUGACGUGCAAAUCGAUUGUCAGAAUUGAGU